rnacentral:rRNA from 2 species
UAGGGAAUCUUCCACAAUGGACGCAAGUCUGAUGGAGCAGCGCCGCGUGAGUGAAGAAGGUUUUCGGAUCGUAAAGCUCUGUUGUUGGUGAAGAAGGAUAGAGGCAGUAACUGGUCUUUAUUUGACGGUAAUCAACCAGAAAGUCACGGCUAACUACGUGCCAGCAGCCGCGGUAAUACGUAGGUGGCAAGCGUUGUCCGGAUUUAUUGGGCGUAAAGCGAGCGCAGGCGGAAUGAUAAGUCUGAUGUGAAAGCCCACGGCUCAACCGUGGAACUGCAUCGGAAACUGUCAUUCUUGAGUGCAGAAGAGGAGAGUGGAAUUCCAUGUGUAGCGGUGGAAUGCGUAGAUAUAUGGAAGAACACCAGUGGCGAAGGCGGCUCUCUGGUCUGCAACUGACGCUGAGGCUCGAAAGCAUGGGUAGCGAACAGG